GGCCUGAUGGUCUAGUAGUAUGAUUCCUUGUUAGGGCUUGUCCGUUUCGAGGAGGUCCCGGGUUCAAUUCCCGGUCAGGCCC
rfam:Pleurotus ostreatus PC15 unplaced genomic scaffold scaffold_06, whole genome shotgun sequence.